rnacentral:rRNA from 1 species
GAUGAACGCUGGCGGCGUGCCUAAUACAUGCAAGUCGAGCGAACGGACGAGAAGCUUGCUUCUCUGAUGUUAGCGGCGGACGGGUGAGUAACACGUGGAUAACCUACCUAUAAGACUGGGAUAACUUCGGGAAACCGGAGCUAAUACCGGAUAAUAUUUUGAACCGCAUGGUUCAAAAGUAAAAGACGGUCUUGCUGUCACUUAUAGAUGGAUCCGCGCUGCAUUAGCUAGUUGGUAAGGUAACGGCUUACCAAGGCAACGAUGCAUAGCCGACCUGAGAGGGGGAUUGGCCACACUGGAACUGAGACACGGUCCAGACUACUACGGGAGGCAGCAGUAGGGAAUCUUCCGGAAUGGGCGAAAGCCUGACGGAGCAACGCCGCGGGAGUGAUGAAGGUCUUCGGAUCGUAAAACUCUGUUAUUAGGGAAGAACAUAUGUGUAAGUAACUGUGCACAUCUUGAAGGUACCUAAUCAGAAAGCCACGGCUAACUACGUG